rnacentral:rRNA from 1 species
CUUGCUGAAAGGCGAGCUAAUACCGGAUGUAAUCGCUAGGGGGUAUCUCUUGGUGAUUAAAGUUGGGGACCGCAAGGCCUGACGCUUCAUGAUGAGCCCGCAUCCUAUCAGCUAGUUGGUGAGGUAACGGCUCACCAAGGCUAAGACGGGUAGCUGGUCUGAGAGGACGACCAGCCACACUGGAACUGAGACACGGUCCAGACACCUACGGGUGGCAGCAGUCGAGAAUCUUUCACAAUGGGCGAAAGCCUGAUGGAGCGACGCCGCGUGGGGGAUGAAGGGCUUCGGUCCGUAAACCCCUGUCAUUUGCGAACAAACCUUUCUACCUAACACGUAGAGAGCUGAUUGUAGCGAAAGAGGAAGGGACGGCUAACUCUGUGCCAGCAGCCGCGGUAAUACAGAGGUCCCAAGCGUUGUUCGGAUUUAUUGGGCGUAAAGGGUGCGUAGGUGGCGAGGUAAGUUUGAUGUGAAAUCUCCGAGCUCAACUCGGAAAUGGCAUUGAAUACUAUCCCGCUUGAGGGUCGGAGGGGAGACUGGAAUUCUCGGUGUAGCAGUGAAAUGCGUAGAUAUCGAGAGGAACACCAGUGGUGAAGGCGAGUCUCUGGACGACUCCUGACACUGAGGCACGAAAGCUGGGGGAGCAAACAGGAUUAGAUACCCUGGUAGUCCUAGCUGUAAACGGUGCACGUUUGCUGUAAGAGGAAUCGACCCCUUUUGUGGCGAAGCUAACGCGUUAAACGUGCCGCCUGGGGAGUACGGUCGCAAGAUUAAAACUCAAAGAAAUUGACGGGGGCCUGCACAAGCGGUGGAGUAUGUGGCUUAAUUCGAUUCAACGCGAAGAACCUUACCCCCAGGUUUGACAUGUUGGUGGUAGGGAUCCGAAAGGUGACCGACCCGCAAGGGAGCCUUCACAGGUGCUGCAUGGCUGUCGUCAGCUCGUGUCGUGAGAUGUUCGGUUAAGUCCGCUAACGAGCGCAACCCUCGCUACGUGUUAUACGUGUCACGUGGGACCGCCGGUAUCAAGCCGGAGGAAGGUGGGGAUGACGUCAAGUCAGCAUGGCCUUUAUAUCUGGGGCUACACACACGCUACAAUGGUCGGUACAAUGGGUCGCUAAGCCGCGAGGUGGAGCCAAUCCCCAAAGCCGGCCUCAGUCCAGAUCACAGGCUGCAACUCGCCUGUGUGAAGUCGGAGUUGCUAGUAAAUGCGCGUCAGCUAUAGUGCAUUGAAUACGUUCUCGGGCCUUGUACACACCGCCCGUCACGUCAUGGGAGUUGGUAACACCUGAAGCCGGUAGCCUAACCGCAAGGAGGGCGCUGUCGAAGGUGGUGCUGAUGACUGGGACGAAGUCGUAACAAGGUA